rnacentral:lncRNA from 1 species
UGCGCCACAGCCUGCUGGGCGGGACCAUGUGUGGCGUUGAUGCUAACGAGUUAAUAUGGCCACCGCUGCUUUUCUGAAAUUGAAUGUUCCCAGGGUGAGUGACAGCCUCCCGCCUCUCCAGGAGGCUCACAAGGACCAGCAGGCCUCACAGAGUAAGUGGGAACAAGAUGGAAGAACAAUAUUUGGGGAAAUAAAGCAUCUAGAGUGAC